rnacentral:rRNA from 1 species
GAUGAACGCUGGCGGCGUGCAUAACACAUUCAAGUCGAACGGGGCAGCAAUGCCUAGUGGCGGACGGGUGAGUAACGCGUGAGCAACCUGCCUGUGUGAGGGGGACAACAGCCGGAAACAGCUGCUAAUACCGCAUGAAGCAUUCGACUCGCCUGGAUUGAAUACCAAAGAUUUAUCGCACACGAAUGGGCUCGCGUCCGAUUAGGUAGAUGGUGAGGUAACGGCUCACCAUGGCGACGAUCGGUAGCCGGACUGAGAGGUUGAACGGCCACAUUGGAACUGAGAUACGGUCCAGACUCCUACGGGAGGCAGCAGGGGGGAAUAUUGGGCAAUGGGCGAAAGCCUGACCCAGCGACGCCGCGUGAAGGCAGACGGUCUUCGGAUUGUAAACUUCAAACAACAGGGAAGAAACAAAUGACUGUACCUGUUAGGAAGCCACGGCUAACUACGUGCCAGCAGCCGCCGUAAGAC